rnacentral:antisense_RNA from 1 species
UGUGGGAGCUGGCUUGCCUGCGAUGCAGGCACCUCGGUCUAUCCAGUAAGACUGCGGUGAUGCUAUCGCAGGCAAGCCAGCUCCCACA